rnacentral:rRNA from 1 species
GAAAGCCACGGCGAACUAUGUGCCAGCAGCCGCGGUAAUACAUAGGUGGCAAGCGUUAUCCGGAUUUAUUGGGCGUACAGGGUGCGUAGGCGGUUGUGUAAGUUUGAGGUUAAAUCCCGGAGCUCAACUCCGGUCCGCCUUGAAAACUACAUGACUAGAAUACAAGAGAGGUAAAUGGAAUUCCAUGUGUAGCGGUAAAAUGCGUAGAUAUAUGGAAGAACACCUGUGGCGAAAGCGGUUUACCAGCUUGUUAUUGACGCUGAGGCACGAAAGCGUGGGGAGCAAAUAGGAUUAGAUACCCUAGUAGUCCACGCCGUAAACGUUGAGUACUAGGUGUCGGGAAUUAUCUCGGCGCCGCAGCUAACGCAUUAAGUACUCCGCCUGAGUAGUAUGCACGCAAGUGUGAAACUCAAAGGAAUUGACGGGGACCCGCACAAGUGGUGGAGCAUGUGGUUUAAUUCGAAGCAACACGAAGAACCUUACCAGGGCUUGACAUCCAGUGCAAAGGCAUAGAGAUAUGCUGGAGGCUAACAUUGAGACAGGUGGUGCAUGGUUGUCGUCAGUUCGUGCCGUGAGGUGUUUGGUUAAGUCCAGCAACGAACGCAACCCUUGUCAUUAGUUACUAACAUUUAGUUGAGGACUCUAAUGAGACUGCUAGUGUAAGCUAGAGGAAGGUGGGGAUGACGUCAAAUCAUCAUGCCCCUUAUGUCCUGGGCUACACACGUGCUACAAUGGCUGAUACAAAGAGUCGCAAUCUCGCAAGGAGGAGCUAAUCUCAUAAAAUCAGUCUCAGUUCGGAUUGAAGGCUGCAACUCGCCUUCAUGAAGCCGGAAUCACUAGUAAUCGCGAAUCAGCUAUGUCGCGGUGAAUACGUUCUCGGGUCUUGUACACACCGC